GCGUAGUUAGCAUUAUACAGUGAACUGCGAAUGGCUCAUUAAAUCAGUUAUCGUUUAUUUGAUAGUACCUUUACUACUUGGAUAACCGUGGUAAUUCUAGAGCUAAUACAUGCUAAAAAUCCCGACUGUUUGGAAGGGAUGUAUUUAUUAGAUAAAAAACCAAUGCACUUCGGUGCUCUUUGGUGAUUCAUAAUAACUUCUCGAAUCGCAAGGCUUCAUGCUGGCGAUGGUUCAUUCAAAUUUCUGCCCUAUCAACUUUCGAUGGUAGGAUAGUGGCCUACCAUGGUUUCAACGGGUAACGGGGAAUAAGGGUUCGAUUCCGGAGAGGGAGCCUGAGAAACGGCUACCACAUCCAAGGAAGGCAGCAGGCGCGCAAAUUACCCAAUCCUGACACAGGGAGGUAGUGACAAUAUAUAACGAUGCAGGGCCCUUACGGGUCUUGUAAUUGGAAUGAGUACAAUUUAAAUACCUUAACGAGGAACAAUUGGAGGGCAAGUCUGGUGCCAGCAGCCGCGGUAAUUCCAGCUCCAAGAGCGYAUAUUAAAGUUGUUGCAGUUAAAAAGCUCGUAGUUGAACUUUGGGCUUGGCUGGCCGGUCCGUUUUUUAACGAGUACUGGUUUUCAGCCGAGCCUUUCCUCCUGGUUUCUGUGUAGUUGGGCUUGUCUCAGCUGCAUAUGAUCCAGGACUAUUACUUUGAAAAAAUUAGAGUGUUCAAAGCAGGCGUUUAGCUCGAAUAUAUUAGCAUGGAAUAAUGAAAUAGGACGUAUGGUUCAAUUUUGUUGGUUUCUAGGACCAUCGUAAUGAUUAAUAGGGACGGUCGGGGGCAUCAGUAUUCAAUUGUCAGAGGUGAAAUUCUUGGAUUUAUUGAAGACUAACUACUGCGAAAGCAUUUGCCAAGGACGUUUUCAUUAAUCAAGAACGAAAGUUAGGGGAUCGAAGAUGAUCAGAUACCGUCGUAGUCUUAACCAUAAACUAUGCCGACUAGGGAUCGGGUAUUGUUCUUUUACUGACUCACUCGGCACCUUACGAGAAAUCAAAGUUUUUGGGUUCUGGGG
rnacentral:rRNA from 1 species